CACAUGAUGGAGUAAGAUUAAAAAAAAUACUUGUGAAACUAGUUUCUCUGUUUUAGAACUGCAAUGAAAAUUCCAGUUUGGAAAAAAGUCACUUAACUCAAUUGUCAAUAGUCACUGGCCAUCCAUCAAUUGUAUGACUAUUGUUUUGGUUUGAUAGAACAUUUACUUUUAUUUAAGUUCUUAUUAUAGUGAUAAUGAUCAAAGAUGCCAAUAUUGUUAUGUGUGUUUGGAAAGAAUUGGAGAUUUAAAGCUAUAUAGCAGACAGGGCCACUUUAAAAAUGAUGAAUCAGUAGGGUGAUUACACAAUAAAAUUUUAGAAAAUAAGAUGAUAGUCAGGAAGACAGAAGACAAAUGUUGAGCAGUAAAACACUACCAAUCACACACACAUUUCUAAAUAAAUACGCGUAAUUGGAAUAAAUGACAUCAACAAAGAAACUACAUUUGGGAUAUAUUUUCACACUUAUCUAUUUUCUAACACAACUCAGCAUCUAUUUGCUUUUCUCUAGUGAGAAGGGAAGGGAAUGAUUAAGAAUCAUUGCUUAGAGUCAUUCCCUUCUCGCGGAAGAGCUCUCUGAGGGCCUGAUUCACAGACGUGGUUCUUCAGUUACCUUUCUUAUUAAGUCAUUUAUCAUAUCAAAUGUGAUUCCUCUCUGUCAUGCAACGUGCUCUCCAAAAAUAUCAAUAUCAAUAUACUCUUCAAGAUUGCAAGCUGGCUAAGUUGACUUGCAACAAAAUUAAAGAAAUCUGAAACAUUUUUGUGUCUGGUUUAAGAAUAUUGAAGCUUUGAACAUUGGGUUAACUGCUUACUAAUAAGUUUAUUAUAAGGAUAUUGGUAUCCCAUGAUCCUCCUCUUUUAAUGAACACGUAUUUUUCAUUUACUUUUUUAGGAGAAAGAAUCACAUAAGCCUAUGGAAAUGGCACAUUGCUUUAUUUCAGCAAUAAUUAAAUUUAUUCAUGUAGUCUGAGUUGUGUUCAAUAGUGAGGGGUCUACUAAAUCAAUGGAGAAAGUGGUUUUAAAUAUCCUCUAUUUCCUGAAGACAGCAAAUUUAUAUCUCUGGUUUUGAUCUUAUUCCCCACUCUUAUAUUUAACAAUCUAAGCUAUAUCUCCAUUUUAAUGUCUAGUAAAUGUAUCAAGCUUAUAUUUAAAACAGAACUCUUAAUUUCCCCCUACAACUAUGUUCCUCUACCUCUUGGCUUCCACUCUGUAAAUGGCUCUUACAUAAACUCUGUUUUCAAGUCUGAAAUUUUGGAGACAUCUUUACUUUGUAUAGUCCCUCAAAUACUCUACAUAAUCUGCAAAUUCUGUGGCUGCUCUUUACAACUAUGACUUGAAUCUCAACAGAGUUGAAGAAUCUGAACUUGAAGCUUUAGAUGUGCAGGUUUAGAUAAAGUUCAUAGUAUAGAAAAGCGUGGAGAGUCAGGAUGAAAUUGGGAGCUUACUAACAUUACCAGGCAGUUACAUCUUUAAUUUUUCAGUUACCUGAGCCAAUAAUGCCUUGUUUUCUAAUACUUCCAACUGAAGGCAAUUUACCUGAUACAAAAUCAAAUAGGGAUUAAAUUUCCUGCUUCUUCCAAAUGUCUUAUGAG
rnacentral:lncRNA from 1 species